AUAGACUGCAGAGAAGCGAGAACAGAGCCAGAAGGGGCGGUAAGAGCUGAUACAAUAAUCUUUAUUCAUCACUCUCAUUUUAUCAUGGUGAAAAUGUUUGUGAGAAGCUCUGUAAUAGGUCAUAUCUCAAGUUCAGUUGGCCAAGAUUGAGUUAUUUGCUGACUCUCAUGCUGCAAGCACACCUAGGCAAGGACUUAUCUGGCAUUCUCGAGGCAGUUUAGAUCAAGAAGAGUAGAGGGACUCAAAGAAAAAAUGCAGUAAUCUGCAGAAGAUAAAUAGCUGGGCAUGGCAGCUCUGGUGGCCCAGCGGUUUAGCGCCGCCUUCAGCCCAGGGCAUGAUCC